GUUUAAUGAUAAAUAUCCAUGCUAAUGCUAAGACAUCAAGGGAUUUACCUCCCUCUGGAUGUAACUGCUGAAAACUUCCAAAACUGAAAACA